rnacentral:rRNA from 1 species
UACGUAGGGGGCAAGCGUUGUCCGGAUUUAUUGGGCGUAAAGAGCGUGUAGGCGGCCAGACAGGUCUGCUGUGAAAACUCGAGGCUCAACCUCGAGACGCCGGUGGAAACCGUUUGGCUAGAGUCCGGAAGAGGAGAGUGGAAUUCCUGGUGUAGCGGUGAAAUGCGCAGAUAUCAGGAAGAACACCCGUGGCUAAGGCGGCUCUCUAGUACGGUACUGACGCUGAGACGCGAAAGCGUGGGGGAGCGAACAGG